rnacentral:rRNA from 1 species
AUAUUAAUAAGCGGAGGAAAAGAAACUAACCAGGAUUCCCUCAGUAACGGCGAGUGAAGCGGGAACAGCUCAAAUUUGAAAUCUGGCACCCCCGCUGGGGCGCCCGAAUUGUAGUUUGUGGGAGUUGCAUCGGGCGGCCGCCCCGGUAGAAGUUCUUUGGAACGAGACAUCACAGAGGGUGAGAAUCCCGUACGUGACCGGGGAGCGCAGGCGCCGCCGGAGGAUUUGCAUCUCCGAAGAGUCGGGCUGCUUGGGAUUGCAGUCUGAAACGGGUGGUAAUUUUCAUCUAAAGCUAAAUAGAGGCGAGAGACCGAUAGCGAACAAGUACCGUGAGG